rnacentral:rRNA from 1 species
GACGAACGCUGGCGGCGUGCUUAACACAUGCAAGUCGAACGAAGAGCGAUGGAAGCUUGCUUCUAUCAAUCUUAGUGGCGAACGGGUGAGUAACGCGUAAUCAACCUGCCCUUCAGAGGGGGACAACAGUUGGAAACGACUGCUAAUACCGCAUACGAUCUAACCUCGGCAUCGAGGAUAGAUGAAAGGUGGCCUCUACAUGUAAGCUAUCACUGAAGGAGGGGAUUGCGUCUGAUUAGCUAGUUGGCGGGGUAACGGCCCACCAAGGCGAUGAUCAGUAGCCGGUCUGAGAGGAUGAACGGCCACAUUGGGACUGAGACACGGCCCAGACUCCUACGGGAGGCAGCAGUGGGGAAGCUUCCGCAAUGGACGAAAGUCUGACGGAGCAACGCCGCGUGAGUGAUGACGGCCUUCGGGUUGUAAAGCUCUGUUAAUCGGGACGAAAGGCCUUCUUGCGAAUAGUGAGAAGGAUUGACGGUACCGGAAUAGAAAGCCACGGCUAACUACGUG